rnacentral:SRP_RNA from 1 species
GCCCAUUAUUAUGUGAAAAAUAUCUCUUAACAUGUCAGGACAUAAAUGUAGCAGCAUAAAGAAAUUUAUUUUUUUAGAUAUAAUAAAUGGGCCAACA